GCCCCGGCUACCAGGCAAGCAGACGACUGUAGCAGACAACAAAUCAACAAUGGUGGUGCAUGAAAUAUGAAAAACUUGAAAAAAAGGUUUCUGGGGUUUGUAGCAAUGUAGCUACUUUGCUUGCUACAAAUGGCGCUCCGUAGUCCGUAGUGAAUAUCGAAAGAUAUUCACACAUAUUAGCAUUAUAACAUAUUUAAUUUCAGAGUUCAAAUAACCUUUUUGAUAUCUGAUGAACAAAAUUUCUCAACAAGAAACUGAUAUCGAAAAUCAAAGACUCGUGUCCGCCGUCUCCAAUAGAUUCCCAUCCCAUGACUUGCUUUUCCUAAUACAGGGCUGAGAUUUGAUGAGUUUCAAUGUUUUUAACUAUGACCUGUUGCAAAGUCCAUGCAAGUUCUUGGUUUGAUUUCCUUUCAAAAUCUGGUAACAUUUACUGAAAGACCACUUUGACUGUGGCACUGGUUUGAAUAUUUUGUGAUUGUAUGUAUAUUUUAAAUAUUGUGUAUGCUGUGAUAGCUGAUAGGUUUAUCAAGUACCCUUAUUUCGACAGUCGUAUAGUAGGCCUAUGCAAUUCUGUUUGCGCCACUAACUUGUACCGCUAGGUUUAAUAUCCGAUUAUGAUUUUUAACAUUCAAUGUUUUUUCUGUGUUUCAAAUUCUUAGCACAUGGAAGAUUCCCGCGAAUGAGACUCUUUGGCCUCUUCUACGAUUUGGCCAUUCGCGGUAGGUGACAACCUCAGAUGAAUUAUACAGCAGGUUUCUUGUACAGUACCUGCAGAUUGAAAAGACCAACACCACAGUGGACUACCAUCACCGGUAUAUCAACUGGACGUUUUCCCUCCUGUUUCCUAGAUCUCGCGAAAGUUUGUCGGCUAUACUUACAAGGUAUCGUUUCGAAGCAUUAUUCCGUUUCAUUAAUUGAAUAAUUUGAGUGACGUGAACAUUCGCCCAAGUUGUCUUUUGUUUCUAUAUUACAUAAUUAAAAACGUUUUUUUUUUUUCAAAAAAGCCGACUGUCCUUCAAACGAGUCAAAUGACUCAAAUGUCAAAUGUUAUAAAAUGAGUUUUAAGCCAUAAACAUUUGGUAUUCAUUAUGAUAUUGGUAGUUGUAGCCCCAUCCCCUGCAACGUCAAUCUGCAGGAGGAAAGCCCAGUUUGCAUGCCACUUCACUUUCGAAGGUCACCGAGAUCAUUACGUAAAACGUGUCAUGCAAUGGUGUAGAGGUUGGGUGAGAACGAUAUGUGUUACAAAACUAUUUGGUAUUCAUUUUUUUUUUAAUUUGUUUUUGUGGACCCAUCCCACAGCAACAUCAACCUGCGGAAAGAAAGGCCAGUUUUCUUGUCCUUCGCGCUCGAAGGUCACGGAGAUCAUUAAGUAAAACGUUUCAUGCAGUGGUGUAGAGGUUGGGUGCGAACGGGCGUUUUGCAUCAUUAUCAAGCAGGUACAAAAGCCGCAAGGCUUAGGAGGUGAAGGUUGAAAAAAAAAAUCGUAUAAAAGGAGAGAGAAAAGGUGAAAGAGAAUCAGUCGAGUGAGCAUCUACGACACGGCAACAACUGCAGCGCAACAUCUAUCAAUAACUGCCCUCUUCAUUCUAUCCGUUCAUCGUAUCAUCAGUUCGCAAUCAUGGGAAUAUGUAUUCUGCUACUCUUCUAUAAUUAUGGCGUUGUGCUGCUGUUGGGUGUUUAUCUGUGACGGGUUGGUCGACCACUGGUGUACCGAUGUCUCCUUAAUGUGGCGCAAACCAAACCGCAACUCGUCGCCUUACUUCACGACAACAACAUACGCAACAGCCGUUUACUACCACCAAGGCACCGGAGUACUACACCACCAAGGCACCGGAGUAAUACACCACCAAAGCACCGGAGUACUACUCCGUUCCCAUCUACUACACCGAUGCUCCAGCUUAUUACGCCACCAAGGGCAAAUGCUACACCGAGUCGCUCAAGUACUACUCUGCCCAGAUUUACUACACAGCUGCUGCUCCUUCGUGCUACGUUGGACCGAAAUACUA